rnacentral:rRNA from 1 species
AUUGAACGCUGGCGGCGUGCUUAACACAUGCAAGUCGAUCGGUAACGCGGGGGCAACCCUGGCGACGAGAGGCGGACGGGUGAGGAACGCUUGGGAAUCUGCCCUUCAGCGGGGGACAACACGGGGAAACUCGUGCUAAUACCGCAUACGCUCCACGGAGGAAAGCCGGGGACCGCAAGGCCUGGCACUGACGGAUGAGCGCAAGUCGGGUUAGCUAGUUGGCGGGGUAACGGCCCACCAAGGCGACGAUCCGUAGCUGGUCUGAGAGGACGAUCAGCCACACUGGGACUGAGACACGGCCCAGACUCCUACGGGAGGCAGCAGUGGGGAAUAUUGGACAAUGGGGGAAACCCUGAUCCAGCGACGCCGCGUGGGUGAAGAAGGCCUGCGGGUUGUAAAGCCCUUUCGGUAGGGACGAAAGCUCUCGACCUAACACGUCGGGAGGUUGACUUAACCUACAGAAGAAGCACCGGCUAACUCUGUGCCAGCAGCCGCCGUAACAC